AAUUUAAAAAAAAGUUCUACUAACUUCAAUAUAUUCAGUUCCUGUGACUGUUCUUCGUUUUUGAGUUAAGUAAACUGAUAAUCUUUGAUUAACUUGAACUAUUUGGCGGAUUAAGUAAGCAUCACUUAAACAUAUACAUUGAACUGUACUCAUUUCUAAUGCUUAUUGUGUGUCUGACGUCACUAACCGUCACUAACUGUCGAAAGUGGGAUGCAGCACAUGCAGCUAAUACCUGCAAUAAGGUGGAUCUUCACACUUAAUUUCCACACUUUCCGGUGGUAAUCAGCAUCAUUGGUCUCACUGUUUCAACCUCUUUAUACGGUUUCAACGAGCGUGAGGCCACACACACGGGACGGAGCAGAGCAGAGACAGGUUUCAACCUCUGUAUACGGGUUCAACAAGCGCGAGGCCACACACAUGGGGCAGAGCAGAGAAAGACCCUCACAUCGUACAAGGAAAAACUUCCGAAGAAAACCCACAGUUUAAAGGGAAAAAUGGGAGAAACCUCAGGGAGAGCAACAGAGGAGGGAUCCCUCUCCCAGGACGGACAGACAAUGGAUGUUUAAGAAGUUAUUAGGCAGUAGCUUACAUUACAUUUUAAAUAUAGGAUUUGUUCAACCUUCCCCAAGGAGAGGAUCUCUCAAGUCUUGAGCACUUGAGGCAGACAAUUGUUGAGGAAGUCAAGAAGACUGAGAUGGACCUACCCCUCAUUAAAAAGAUGAUGCACACCACAUUUGCACUGCGGGGACAGACCAUAGUGAGGACAUGCCCGGCAGUGAACGAGCUCAUGGACCUCUGGCCUGCUCUCAAAAUGGAGUCUGAGGUGUAUGCAGAGUUCCAACGGAUUACAAACCAGAAUCUGCCCAACACGUUCUACGCUGCUUUUGACCGCCAUCUUCCUCGACUGAUGGCCAUAUUUAGACAGAAGGCGUCCAAAUCUGGGAGACAGCUGAGGCUUUGGCUGAAAUUUUAAAAAUCCACAAUGAACAGGAAUUACACGACAUCAACACCAGGCGUACCACCGUUAUCCAUGCCCUUCCUGUGUAUCUGCAAGAGGACACCUCUGGAUUUGUACGAACCUGCACAGAAGAGUCCGAACCAGAGCUUGGAGGUGUUGCAGUGGCCCUCCUUACUGUCACCAGUGACAAUGGCACAAGUCAAGUGCAAUAUCAGCCUGUGACCAUCUCUGUUGUCAUCGAAAAUGAUAUUGUGGUCAGCCUCCUCAGACUUGCAGAUGCAUUCCUGGUAAUGUUUGGACUAAUUUAUGCAGUACACCUCAGCUAUCCCAAAGGACUGACAAACACUUUCGAGUUCACUCAGAAGGUUUUAUUUGGUCUGGAAGAUGGUAAAUUGUCGCCCAAGUUGCAGACCCUCAAGAAUGACUUGCUGAUGCAUGUGUAGAAAUGCAUCUGAAAAACAGGUGUGGAGUGGGGCAUUUUCCCUCUACUUCAAAGUGAUUUCCUUCUGAAAUAAAAAUGUCUUAAGAAAGUUGCUGUACCAGUUGCUGCAGGUUUUCAGCCAGGUGGUCAAGCUGCUCAAUGUUCCCUUUUACUUGUACAUGUUGUAUUAAUGUCAAAUGUGUACUGUUUACCAUUGUUCACAUCAAAGUAUCUUUGAUUUUGAGGGAUGACUGUUUGUACUUUAAUAAUACCAAAUAUUUCUGAUUAACUGGCAUUAAUCAUGUUUGUUUGUUGUUGUUGUUGCACUUUAACUCAUCCAGGUGAAGAUUUGAUACUUGUUCAUGUAAUUCAUUUACAUUUUACAGUUUUACAGUUAAAGGGUUCAGACUGUCAUUGUAAUUUUAUCAAAGUUGUUGCUCUAUUCAGGUUUUAACCAAAAUGUGCCAAAAGUACAAUUGCCUUUGCAUUUUUUUAUUUUUUUUUAUGACUACUUAUUUUACUGUCUUGUAAAUGUUAACAGGACAGCAUGUUAAAUAAGAGGGCUAGAAAAUAAAUUUAGUAAAGCUGUUCAAGUUCACUGUUCACUCGAUUCAAUUGAGGCAAUCAGUUGUGUCAAUGUUUUUAAGUUAUGUGAUUUUGAGUUGACUAAGUCAAUGUGUUUGGUUUGGUUGAAAUAAUAAAUAUUGAGUUCUGUUAACCCAAAAAAAAAA